rnacentral:rRNA from 1 species
GCAAGUCGAGCGCACCCUUCGGGGCGAGCGGCGGACGGGUUAGUAACGCGUGGGAACAUACCCUUUUCUUUGGAAUAGCCUUUGGAAACGAAGAGUAAUACCAUAUACGCCCUUCGGGGGAAAGAUUUAUCGGAGAAGGAUUGGCCCGCGUUAGAUUAGGUAGUUGGUGGGGUAAUGGCCUACCAAGCCUACGAUCUAUAGCUGGUCUGAGAGGAUGAUC